rnacentral:lncRNA from 10 species
UGAAGAUGUAUGCCCGGGGGCGGCACAUCUUGCAGAUGGCAAGGCCUGUGAGGCCGGCACCACUGCCAAGUUCUAGGACAGUCCUGGCGGGAGGAAAGGGGACCGUGUCUUCGACUGCACCAGGGUAAGCCUGCCUUGGUGCCCUGCCCUGUGCCCCGAGGUCACCUGUUAGUGAAGGCUGCUGGGUUCUCGAUGGCCCAUUCUGCAAGGCAGAGGGUGGCGUCCCAUGUGACCAGGCCUGUGGUACCGUGAGAGAUGAUGGCUGUGCUCUCGGAGAUUGUGACCGAGCCUCCCGAGGGCUGCACCAAGAGAGGGCGAGAGAGUCAGUCCAGCGAUCAGAAGGCAAGUGGCUUAGAAGACAAGUAGCCAUCCACCACAUGGCUGAAUAAACCAUGACAGGACCAAUCGCCACUCAGCAAUGAGAAGCAGCUAACUGUUGACAUACCAACAGCUUUCACGGGCCUCAAGAUUGUCACGUGGCAUGAAAGACACUCAUCUCAGGCCACACAGGAUUCCAUUCAUCGAACAUUCCUGAGACAACGGAAUUCUGGCGAUGGAGCACAGCAGGUCUGCUACUGCCUACUAAGGAACGGCUUCUCGACAUCCUCCUGUCAAACCCUGCAUGUUCAGGCCCAUCUUUAAAAUCCAUCCUAGGCCAGGUGCAGUGGCUCAUGCCUGUAAUCCCAGCACUUUGGGAGGCCGAGGCAGGCGGAUCACCUGAGGUCAGGAGUUCGAGACCAGCCUGGCCAACAUGGUGAAACUCUGUUUCUACUAAAAAUACAAAAAUUAGCCAGGCAUGGUGGCGUGUGCCUGUAGUCCCAGCUUCUUAGAAGGCUAGGCACGAGAAUUGCUUGAACCCAGGAGGCAGAGAUUUCAGGGAGCCGAGAUUGUGCCACGGUAAUCCAGCCUGGGCACCACAGUGAGACUGUCUCAAAAAAGUAAAUAAACAAGUAAAAAAUAAAAUCCAUCCUAUAGCAGUCAGGAAAGAGCUCAUUCCAGCAGGAUCAAUGAAGAGAAUUCACCAGAGGAACUAGUUCCAAAGGAUGCUUCACAGUCUACGGCAAAGGACAGAACGUUGGUUGCUCGAGAGCCCGUCUUAAGUCUCCUAUGAGCUUCAAGCCAACACAACAGAGGGCAAACUCCAGGCUACCUGAUCCCUCAGCAAAGAUGCAGAUGGACACAGCGUUCUGGCCCCACGCAUCUGAAGUUCGUCUUAAGAUGUGUGAAAGCCUCAGCGCAUGAGCCAAUUCUGUGCAGUGCUCGACAUACAGAUGAGAACACUGAGGCACGAGGCACAGCCUGUGAUCUGGCCACCGCGCUCAGGAGGAGGUGGUUACCCGCGGGCCUGAGGGCGCUGACUUUUUAGAAUGGGCGAGUGCAGCUGUGUCCCAGUGUCCCAGUGACCAGAACGAUUACUGCCUUUUAAAAGUCGUGAAAAGGAUCGUGAACUGUACCCCACACCGAGCGCGCGUCUGCCCCCCAAGGCGGUGGAGACACCCCCAGCUUCCGCCGCCAGCUCGCGGGGCAGAAGGGGUGCGAGCGACUCUGGCCAGGCCCCAGGGACGGAACCGGGUCUGGCGGCCCUGACCGGGGAGAGCCCAGGAACUCACGUAGCCGGAGCGCCGGGGGUUUCAG